rnacentral:rRNA from 1 species
CCAUGCAGUCGAACGGUAACAGGAAGAAGCUUGCUUCUUUGCUGACGAGUGGCGGACGGGUGAGUAAUGUCUGGGAAACUGCCUGAUGGAGGGGGAUAACUACUGGAAACGGUAGCUAAUACCGCAUAACGUCGCAAGACCAAAGAGGGGGACCUUCGGGCCUCUUGCCAUCGGAUGUGCCCAGAUGGGAUUAGCUAGUAGGUGGGGUAACGGCUCACCUAGGCGACGAUCCCUAGCUGGUCUGAGAGGAUGACCAGCCACACUGGAACUGAGACACGGUCCAGACUCCUACGGGAGGCAACAGUGGGGAAUAUUGCACAAUGGGCGCAAGCCUGAUGCAGCCAUGCCGCGUGUAUGAAGAAGGCCUUCGGGUUGUAAAGUACUUUCAGCGGGGAGGAAGGGAGUAAAGUUAAUACCUUUGCUCAUUGACGUUACCCGCAGAAGAAGCACCGGCUAACUCCGUGCCAGCAGCCGCGGUAAUACGGAGGGUGCAAGCGUUAAUCGGAAUUACUGGGCGUAAAGCGCACGCAGGCGGUUUGUUAAGUCAGAUGUGAAAUCCCCGGGCUCAACCUGGGAACUGCAUCUGAUACUGGCAAGCUUGAGUCUCGUAGAGGGGGGUAGAAUUCCAGGUGUAGCGGUGAAAUGCGUAGAGAUCUGGAGGAAUACCGGUGGCGAAGGCGGCCCCCUGGACGAAGACUGACGCUCAGGUGCGAAAGCGU